UCUGUUUCAUAGGUCCUUGAUAUGAAAGUUAAUGUCCUUCAUGUUUUUGGUCUUGCUUAUGUGAUUGUCCAUUGUUGUUGUUUCAUUUUGUUUUAAGUUUCUUGCUUGAUUAUGUUCAUAUAAAUGAAAAAUCAGAUUGGAUACGUUUUAUCAUUGCUUUAUGAUUUUGAGAGGUCAGUGUGAAACAUGGUAGGCAGUGGCAAGUGAAGGUGGGAUGGAUGAUGCUAAAAGAAGGCGUAAUGCCUUUGCUCGCUUUUUUUUCUGCUCACUUGGCAUGGUUGAUGGAAGAGCCUGCUGCAUAUGGAAAGUUAGGGUUGGCCAAUCUAUUGGAACUGAGGGAAGAAUGCAUGAGGGAGUUCCAACGUUGAUGCUUAUAGAAGUAUAAAGCAAAGGGAAAACGAGGCAUCACUUGCUGUUUUACCUGAUCUGCUCCUGGAACUUGAUAGUAUGAGUGAGGAAACAAUAACACUUUCCCUUAUUGAAGGUGUUCUAGCUGCAAACUUUUUUGACUGGGGGGGUCCCGUGCCUGUGUGGAUUCUAUCAUAAAGGAACAAUUAUUGAAAUCUACUGAAUGAGUCGUGAUAAGAUGCAAAGACCUUGGCGGGUGGAUGAUUUUGAUGUCUUUCAAAAGAGAAUGUUAGGAUCUGGAGACAAGAAACCUCGCCCACAUGAAAGAGCGUUGCCCUUUGUGGAUAACUCAGGUACUGACAUUGUUCUAGGAAUGCUUCCCCUAGCACAGGAACUUCUCUGCCUGUGGAACAGAGGUUGUUUUGGUUGCCAACUCCCUUCCAGCUCUAAAUGAUGUCACUGCCAUGGAGCUUCCUGAGAUUGUCGCUGAAGCUGCCAAGGUUGGUCUCAAUGCAUACCCAGUUCUAUGUUUCUCUUUCCAUCUUGCAUUUGAGUUCCCAUUCCCAAUGGAAGUAAAAUCUUUCUGCGGGCCCUCAAUGUCAAGCCUUUUGCCUUCUUUCUCUCACUAUUCCUUGUCUAACCGUUUCUGUUCAGUGGUUUAUGUAUUAGAUUUUCAGUUCUUUUACCUACUAUCAAAUCUGAAUUCUAUGCAUAAGUAGUUAGAUCCCUUAGUCAAAUAUUCAAACUAUUUAAUAUUUUUUUAAAUCCAAACACGAUCAAGUCAUUUAACUUUCUCUUUCCUGUACAUAAGUAUAGACAAGAAAGUGAUUUUUCUAGUCAAUAGCAAUGUGACAUUCUUUGGAGAGCUGCUGAAGUGGGAGGCGUCCUUCUGGAUCCAUGGUUAGCAACCUAAAGGAAAUUCAUCUUCGGUUCCAUUAAUGGUUGUGGCAGCCCUUGCAUAGACUUAAUGCAGAUUAUCUUGGAAGGUAUGGGCAGAGCUCUUCAUACCAACUUCAAUGCCAGGUUUAAGUGUGAUGCUUUAAAGCUUGCAAUGGUGAAGCAUCAUAGGAUGGCAGAUAUAUUGAUUAAAAGAAAACAUACGAAUGUGGUUGCAGACACGAACCGGCAAGUUAAAAGCUCCGGUUCAUAAACAAGUUGUAGGGUCUAAUGGAGUAAUGGUCAUGUGUGGGUGCAGUGAGUAGCCAGAGCUUGUAAUAAGGGGGGUCAUGAAAGUUAAGGUUUAUAUUUAAGUGAAAAUUUUUUACUAAAUAAAAAAAAAAAAAAAA